CCCCUCCAGAUCCUUGCCCCUCAAACCGAAAUAUUGGUCUGAGUGGCUUCAAAAAAAAGAAGGGAAAGUAAAACUGAAGUGGACUUAGAGUCUUUAGUGAUAAACAAGUUCAUUUCAAACUAAU
rnacentral:snoRNA from 1 species